GGUCACUGAAGAGGAGAAAGAAAGGAGUUUAUGUAGGGAGAUAGUGAAUCAUUGGAUCAGUAAAGAACUCCAGAGGCUAGAAAGAUUAAUUGACAGGGCGAGUGAGAAAGGUUGGCGCAAGGAAUAUCCUAAAAUCUAUAGACUGCCUUCGUCCCCUUCAUCACUGCCAAAAACUAGCCAAACUUCCUCUAUUUCUUCAAUUUGAGACCUGCUAUUUAGGGGAGUAACAGACUUGUCCUAAAGGGCAUCAGGCAGACUGGCUCAUGAAUUAUGUAAUGAAGUGAUGCAAGUAAGGGUGUGCAAGUGCGCCUUCAACUAAUAACAGAAAAGAAGAAAAUAAAAUAGAGCAUUCAUCAACUUCAGACUUGGGAAAAGAUGGUCGAUCUGAUCGAGGAGGCUUUUGAAUGAUCAUCGACACUUAUAUAUUUUUUCUCUUUUCCUAUAGUUUUGUCUUAUUGUAGGUAACAUGUGGCGUGUAAAUGUAGCCCUCAAGUGUUGCAUUCAAUAAUUUAUCUGAAUUCGUGAAUUAAUCUUUUAUAGUUAGAGUUGGCAGUAUGGUGUGCCUUGACUAAAGGAUGCAUAAUAGAUCCUUGGUUCAUUACUUUAGGAUACAUAUUUGUAUGUUGUUUGGCUUCUCUUGCCUAGCUAAUACAUUGAGAACUAUUAAAGGUCUACCUGACGAUUU